rnacentral:rRNA from 1 species
GACGAACGCUGGCGGCGUGCCUAAUACAUGCAAGUCGAACGAGUGGCGGACGGGUGAGUAAUGUCUGGGAAACUGCCUGAUGGAGGGGGAUAACUACUGGAAACGGUAGCUAAUACCGCAUACCAUCAGAUGUGCCCAGAUGGGAUUAGCUAGUAGGUGGGGUAACGGCUCACCUAGGCGACGAUCCCUAGCUGGUCUGAGAGGAUGACCAGCCACACUGGAACUGAGACACGGUCCAGACUCCUACGGGAGGCAGCAGUGGGGAAUAUUGCACAAUGGGCGCAAGCCUGAUGCAGCCAUGCCGCGUGUGUGAAGAAGGCCUUCGGGUUGUAAAGCACUUUCAGCGGGGAGGCGUUACCCGCAGAAGAAGCACCGGCUAACUCCGUGCCAGCAGCCGCGGUAAUUC